rnacentral:rRNA from 1 species
GAUGAACGCUAGCUACAGGCUUAACACAUGCAAGUCGAGUGACCGGCGCGGGGGGGAGUAACACGUAUCCAACCUGCCCUUUACUCGGGGAUAGCCUUUCGAAAGAAAGAUUAAUACCCGAUAUAAAGGAUGGGGAUGCGUUCCAUUAGGUUGUUGGUGAGGUAACGGCCCACCAAGCCUUCGAUGGAUAGGGGUUCUGAGAGGAAGGGCCCCCACUAUGGAACGGGGACACGGUCGAAUCUCCUACGGGAGGCAGCGGUGAGGAAUAUUGGUGAAGGGGCGUUAGCCUGAACCAGCCAAGUCGCGUGAAGAAUGAAGGCUUCGUGGUCGUAAACUGCUUUUAUAUAAGAAUAUGGAUUAGAUGAAUAAGGAUCGGCUAACUCCGUGCCAGCAGCCGCGGUAAUAC